UACAGAGGUCCCGAGCGUUGUUCGGAUUCACUGGGCGUAAAGGGUGCGUAGUGGUUGUGCAAGUCUGAUGUGAAAUCUCCGGGCUUAACCCGGAAAUGGCAUUGGAAACUGCAUGGCUAGAGUGUUGGAGGGGGGACUGGAAUUCUCGGUGUAGCAGUGAAAUGCGUAGAUAUCGAGAGGAACACCAGUGGCGAAGGCGAGUCCCUGGACAACGACUGACACUGAGGCACGAAAGCUAGGGGAGCAAACAGG
rnacentral:rRNA from 1 species